GACGAACGCUGGCGGCGUGCUUAACACAUGCAAGUCGAACGGAAAGGCCCCUUUGUUGGUCCUCUAGUGGCGAACGGGUGAGUAACACUUAAGUAACCUGCCCUUGACUUCGGGAUAACUUCAGCUAACUGGGGCUAAUACCGGAUAGGGAUCCUUGCUUCAUGGUGGUGGUUGGAAAGCUUCGGCCGUUUUUGAUGUACUCGCGACUUAUCAGCUUGUUGGUGGGGUAGUGGCUUACCAAGGCUUUUACGCGUAGCCGGACUGCGAGGGCGACCGGCGAUACUGGGACCGAGAGACGGCAGAGACAGCGACGGGAGGGAGAAGGGGGGAAGAUUGAACAAUGGGCGGAAGGCGGAUGAAGAAAGGCCGCGGGCGGGAUGACGGUCUUAGGGUUGUAAACCGCAUGCAGAAGGGGCGAAGCUUGUGGUGACGGUACCUGCAGAAGAAGCAACGGCUAACUACGUG
rnacentral:rRNA from 1 species